rnacentral:tRNA from 1 species
GGGAGCGUGGCGGAAUUGGCAGACGCGCUGGACUUAGAAUCCAGUAUUGAAAGAUGUAUGAGUUCAAGUCUCUUCGCUCCCACCA